rnacentral:rRNA from 1 species
CCUACGGGUGGCAGCAGUCGAGAAUCAUUCACAAUGGGGGAAACCCUGAUGGUGCGACGCCGCGUGGGGGAAUGAAGGUUUUCGGAUGGCAAAACCCUGUCAUGUGGGAGCAAAUUAAAAAGAUAGUACCACAAGAGGAAGAGACGGCUAACUAUGUGCCAGCAGCCGAGGUAAUACAGAGGUCUCAAGCUUUGUUCGGAAUCACUGGGCGUACAGCGGGAGUAGGGUGUUUCGUAAGUCGUGUAUGAAAGGCGCGGGAGCAACCCGCGGACGGCACAAGAUAAUGCGGGACUAGAGUAAUGGAGGGGGAACCGGAAUUCUCUGUGUAGCAGUGAAAUGCGUAGAUAUCGAGAGGAACACUCGUGGCGAAGGCGGGUUCCUGGACAUUAACUGACGCUGAGGCACGAAGGCCAGGGGAGCGAAAGGGAUUAGAUACCCUAGUAGUC